rnacentral:rRNA from 1 species
UACGAAGGGAGCUAGCGUUGUUCGGAAUCACUGGGCGUAAAGCGCACGUAGGCGGAUUUGUCAGUCAGGGGUGAAAUCCCGGGGCUCAACCUCGGAACUGCCUUUGAUACAGCAAGUCUUGAGUUCGAGAGAGGUGGGUGGAAUUCCUAGUGUAGAGGUGAAAUUCGUAGAUAUUAGGAAGAACACCGGUGGCGAAGGCGGCUCACUGGCCCGGUACUGACGCUGAGGUGCGAAAGCGUGGGGAGCAAACAGG